UCCUGGAUAGUUCGAUUGGUCAGAAUGUGCGUUUUCCGCCCUCAUCCGGCGAUAUCAGCUGCUGACAUAGUUUAUAGGGCCGCCCGUCUCUCGCAACGAACGAAGAUCGCGAAUGAUGGAGGUUCGAGUCCUUCUCUGGGAG